GAUCCUGGCUUAGGAUGAACGCUAGCGGCAGGCCUAACACAUGCAAGUCGAGGGGCAGCGCGGUGUGGCAACACACUGGCGGCGACCGGCGGAUGGGUGCGUAACGCGUAUGCAACCUGCCUCCGGAGAGGGGGAUAACCCGUGGAAACGCGGACUAAUACCCCCGUAUGCGCACGACGCCGCAUGACGUUGUGCGGAAAGAUUCAUUGCUCGGAGAUGGGCAUGCGUGGCAUUAGGUAGUUGGCGGGCAACGGCCCACCAAGCCAUCGAUGCCUAGGGAGCUGAGAGGCUAAUCCCCCACACUGGUACUGAGACACGGACCAGACUCCUACGGGAGGCAGCAGUGAGGAAUAUUGGUCAAUGGAGGGAACUCUGAACCAGCCAUGCCGCGUGAGGGAAGACGGCCCUAUGGGUUGUAAACCUCUUUUAGCCGGGAGCAAUAAGGGUCCUGCGGGGCCCGACGAGAGUACCGGCGGAAUAAGCAUCGGCUAACUCCGUGCCAGCCGCUGC
rnacentral:rRNA from 1 species